rnacentral:lncRNA from 1 species
GAACCAACUGCCACCAUCCUUAGGAAGGAUGAAGGGGAGCUAUGGGGAUGCACAGCUCAGAGAGAAAAGCCCUGAAACGAGCCACUGAAUUUUAAAAGGGCUGCCAGGAGAAGCCAUGUAGCUUUGUGCUUGGACAGAAAGCUAAGAGUGUCAUGACAUGAAUUUGAGAAAAGAGUGACGUCUGAAGAUAUAAAUGGCCUGAUACAAUGCCCAUUCUGAACAAUAGGUUCACAGUUUUGUUCACUGAUGUGCCCACCCAGAGUCCCAUCUGUGUUUCGAGACUGUCUCUGUUUGUCUCUAAUCCUUAAGUGUGUUGUUUUAUUGAAACAGGGAGCAUACCGUCAUUCCAACUCCCAGGAAAGAUAAGGCUGGAAAACCUUUCAAAAGAACACCGUGAGUAUCUUUGGAAAAGAGCGCAGUGCUUGAAAAUGUCAAACAGGGCUUGAGCUAGAUAAAUAUUACCGGGAAACCAGACAGGAUUGCAGGCAGAUGGAAAAGUUCCCUCGGGAAAUAGCUAGAUCUAAGCUUCCUCUUUAAGUUAUUGCUAAGCUAGGAGUAGCAAAGGGAACCCCGUUUCAGUACACUUUGAGUACAACUUCUCUGAGAAAGAAGUCGAAAGUUAGCAGCAGGCAACAGAAACGAAACAGAUCAGAGAGGUUCAGGAGACACAUCCAUUUAAAAGGACAGCUCCCAAGGCAGAGACACCUGUCCCAGUGGCUGCAUCAGGCUGUGAAUUUUACUGACAACCGUGGUUUUUUCCUCUUGACAUUUUAUCGUCAUAAUGAAGGGUCAAUUAAAACUUGAGCCACCUGCAUAAUAGACUUUUUUUUUCUCCUCAAAGAACUGAAGAGAACACCUGGACUUUUCAUCUAUAUUGACAUUGGUGUGUUUAAGAAAAGGAAAUAAAAAACCCUUGA